rnacentral:rRNA from 1 species
GACGAACGCUGGCGGCGUGCCUAAUACAUGCAAGUUGAGCGCUGAAGGUUGGUACUUGUACCGACUGGAUGAGCAGCGAACGGGUGAGUAACGCGUGGGGAAUCUGCCUUUGAGCGGGGGACAACAUUUGGAAACGAAUGCUAAUACCGCAUAAAAACUUUAAACACAAGUUUUAAGUUUGAAAGAUGCAAUUGCAUCACUCAAAGAUGAUCCCGCGUUGUAUUAGCUAGUUGGUGAGGUAAAGGCUCACCAAGGCGAUGAUACAUAGCCGACCUGAGAGGGUGAUCGGCCACAUUGGGACUGAGACACGGCCCAAACUCCUACGGGAGGCAGCAGUAGGGAAUCUUCGGCAAUGGACGAAAGUCUGGCCGAGCAACGCCGCGUGAGUGAAGAAGGUUUUCGGAUCGUAAAACUCUGUUGGUAGAGAAGAACGUUGGUGAGAGUGGAAAGCUCAUCAAGUGACGGUAACUACCCAGAAAGGGACGGCUAACUACGUG